GACGAACGCUGGCGGCGUGCUUAACACAUGCAAGUCGAACGGAAAGGCCCUGCUUUUGUGGGGUGCUCGAGUGGCGAACGGGUGAGUAACACGUGAGUAACCUGCCCUUGACUUUGGGAUAACUUCAGGAAACUGGGGCUAAUACAGGAUAGGAGCUCCUGCUGCAUGGUGGGGGUUGGAAAGUUUCGGCGGUUGGGGAUGGACUCGCGGCUUAUCCGCUUGUUUGUGGGGUAGUGGCUUACCAAGGCUUUGACGGGUAGCCGGCCUGAGAGGGUGGCCGGCCACAUUGGGACUGAGAUACGGCCCAGACUCCUACGGGAGGCAGCAGUGGAGAAUCUUGCACAGUGGGCGGAAGCCUGAUGCAGCAACGCCGCGUGCGGGAUGACGGCCUUCGGGUUGUAAACCGCUUUCGCCUGUGACGAAGCGUGAGUGACGGUAAUGGGUAAAGAAGCACCGGCUAACUACGUG
rnacentral:rRNA from 1 species